UACGAAGGGGGCGAGCGUUGUUCGGAAUUACUGGGCGUAAAGGGCGCGCAGGCGGCUCUGAAAGUCAGAUGUGAAAGCCCCGGGCUUAACCUGGGAAUUGCAUUUGAUACUCUGGAGCUUGAGUGUGGGAGAGGAGAGUGGAAUUCCCAGUGUAGAGGUGAAAUUCGUAGAUAUUGGGAAGAACACCCGUGGCGAAGGCGGCUCUCUGGGACGGUACUGACGCUGAGACGCGAAAGCGUGGGGAGCGAACAGG
rnacentral:rRNA from 1 species